rnacentral:lncRNA from 1 species
CGGCUAUAUUACUUUUAGGCAAAAUGUUAAAAUUAUAAGUACAACUGUAUUAGAAUGACUUUUUUUUCCAAAUACGUAGUAAGGUCUUUCAGUUCCACAAAAUGCACACACACAUCCUGUAUGCAUCAGGAACUAGGUUUGCUUGAUUUCUUUGCCUUCUUGCAGAAACAUUUCUCUCAUAGUAUAUUCAUCAUUUACAGUAGAUGAAAGUUUAAAUGACAAAAUUUGUCAAGAUAAAUCCACAAUUUUGACCCACACCCUAGAGUGUUGAAACGUGUGUGAUAUCGGAAAACAUUUGGCAACUUUUCUGAAUUCUUUCUUUUCUACAUACCCAGCCGUCCCAAAAAAAGAAGAAGAAGAAAACGAAGAUACCAAACUUUGAGUUCAUAUUACUUCACUCUUCCAACAAGGACACUUGACAUUUGGGUAAAUAUAACUCUUUCAGUUUUCAUUUAUGUUUGCAUUUAUUCAUUCAGCAUUCAUUUUAGCCAAAGUGGAAUUGGCUAUAAUGAAAUUACUGUUUAUCAAAUAUUACAAACCGAAGAAUUACACACAUUUACCGCUGAAUCAAAAAGCUUUCUUAAGUAAUGUAAAUUAACCAUUUGUUAGAUAACAUUGUAUAUUGAUUCUACUACACUGUAAAGCCACAUUAAAUGUCCCAUAAGCGUACAAUAUUUAUUUUAGAUUUUUGGGGCUUUUGAAUUAAUAUGCUUAGCUAAGUUUGCUUGCAUUUGACUUGAAUAUUAUUUCAAUCAGACUAAAGUACAUUACCAGGACGGCUUACAAAAACCGAUGUAACCCUGUACAAUGAAACCACUGUUGCCAACUCUCACAAGACAACAAAAACAGAAGUUAUUUUACGAAAAUCAGCAAACUGCAACAAAGCGGGAGGUACGCACUAUCUACUCAUCUCCAAUCACCUGUGAGCAGAAUAGGACUGGAGAGAUGGAAAAGGAGAAAAGACAAGAGCUUUAAGGAGGAGCAGUAACAUUGCCACAUAUUUAUAGCCUAAUAAAGUAUAUUCAAACCAAACAUAUAUACUGUUAGUAUUAGUAUACAGUACUUGUUUUUGAAGUUGCCUGUCAGAUUUUUUUUUUUUUUCACGCAACUUAACAAAAAAAGAAGCCCAAAGUUGUGUAUUAUAAGUGGACUUGGCAACUGUCAGUGAAACCAUUCAAUUUUUUUAUCAAUGGCGUUGAAUGAAAGGAUGCAUGUGUGUGAAAAUGUAAUAAUAUAAAGUGUCACUUUAAGAAACUCACAUGCCCAGGGAGUUUGGUUGUAAUGCACUUAGUCAAAUGUGCUUAACAGCAAGGUAGUGUGUUUAUGUAAGCACCUUGGUUAAAUUACAGUGCUUCUAAAGCUGUGACCUAGUAGGGUAUGAUGUUAAAAGUUGGGCAAAACAGCGUAAGUGUAUUAACACAGUGUGCAUGUGAAUUACUGUGCACACAGUGCAAAAGCUCGCACAUAAAUGUAAACCUUGAGAAAUGGCAAACUCCAAACUCAAGCACAAAUAAGGACAAAUAACAAAACUGCGAGUCUUGGCAAAUCCCACAUGCACAAGUAAUGUCUGCACAUGCAUGCAGAUCUAAACGCACUGUUUUGACAGUCAGGGGGUAGCGCCCAAACAUAUGCUUGCUGUGAUAACAAAUGCUGUUGGCUGCUCUCCAAAUCCUGUAUUGACUGGCUGCUCGUCUUCGGACUGGCUGUUGAUGAGGACGACUACAGAGAGUGGGAUGGGAUGAUGGCAGACAGUAAAGAGGCAAGUUUUCUUUCUAAAUUCAUACUUAAAAUUUUUUAUAAUAUAAGCCAUCUAGAUCUCUGUAUAGGCACCUCAGUUCAGAUGACAGCAGUGUGAGUAAACACGAUCAUCCCUUCCUCUUUACUACUAGUUGUAGCACCAAAUACU